UAGUGUUGGGGCCACUACAGAUAGCACUGAUUAUGACAAUAUCCAAGAACUCUGGGACUGCAGCUGCCACAGAGAUCCAAAAACUUUAGAGCUACCGAUGUGAAACACUAGCCUGGAAAAGCUGCAGAAACAUGACUCCAACUCUAGAACUGCUGCAUGAGCUGACUAUAGCAAAGCCAUAGGCGUGGGGCGAAUAAGAUCAUGGGAUCCCAACCCCUGCCCCAGUGUGUCCAGGAUGCAGGACAUGGAGUCAAGAAAAAUUAUUCUGGAGCCUUAAGCACUUUGGGACACCAAGACAGGAGAAUAACUUGAGUUCCAGAGCAUCCUGGGAAACAUAGAAAGACCUGGUCUCCACAAAAUUAGAAAACAGAUGCAAUAAUACAGAAACAUUUUGCUAAUAUCAAGAAUGUGGCUUUCCCCUACUACCUAUUGGUGUGGAAGUACAAAAGAAAGAUGAGAUAUGUCAUGGAAAAUACAGAAGCCAAAUUUUAUUUUGCAGAACAGAAUGUAACAUGUGACUUCUAAAAGUUCCUACAAAGGCAUUAAAUGUAAAUGCAGUCUACUGCAACAUUUAUUCAGACUAUUAAAUAGUAUCUGGAUAUAUAGUAUAUAAUGUGUAAUAUCUUGUGGAUAUGUACAUGUUCAGUCUUUUAAUUUUCCACACCUCUUCGUGCACCUAUCAAAUAGUAUCUGACUAAAUCAGGGAGACAUAUGUAUUUCACUUAUGUGUUCAAGAUGACUUAGGCCAUCAAAUCUACAAUAUAUUCUUACAUAUGUUCUGGCUCCUUCCAACUUCAUGAAAAUAUCCCUUGUACAAUUAUUAGCUUUG
rnacentral:lncRNA from 13 species